GCCAGGUGUGGUGGCUCACACCUGUAAUCCCAGCACUUUUGGAGGCUGAGGCAGGCGGAUCACCUGAGGUCAGGAGUUCGAGACCAGCCUGGCCAACAUGGUGAAACCCCGUCUCUA
rnacentral:SRP_RNA from 1 species